UGGGACCUACGGGGGGCAGCAGUGGGGAAUAUUGCACAAUGGGGGAAACCCUGAUGCAGCGACGCCGCGUGAAGGAAGAAGUGUUUCGGUAUGUAAACUUCUCUCAGCAGGGAAGAAAAUGACGGUACCUGACUAAGAAGCCCCGGCUAACUACGUGCCAGCAGCCGCGGUAAUACGUAGGGGGCAAGCGUUAUCCGGAUUUACUGGGUGUAAAGGGAGCGUAGGCGGUUCAGCAAGUCAGAAGUGAAAGCCCGGGGCUCAACUCCGGGACUGCUUUUGAAACUGUUGAACUUGAUUGCAGGAGG
rnacentral:rRNA from 1 species